CUCCGUACGCCGCAGCAACCUCUUCACCUCUCCCCGCUCCUGCCGCCCCCGGUGACCCUUGUGCGCCUUCUUCUCCAUGCUCGGCCACCCCGCGCCACUGCUGCACCUGUCAGUUCUCCCUCCGCCUCUGGACUGGGCAUGUGGAGCGCGGCGUUGUCGCCGUUGUCCUCGACGCACGGGGAGCGCUGGCUGUAGAGGAGGCCAUCCACGGUGCCAUCGCCCCACAACAGAGAAGCUUGCUGCAAGUGUUGGACUGGUCGUUCCUCUAACCGGAGGCCUUGCGAUGGUUCUGUUGGGUUCAGGUCAAACCCGGCAAUGAACUUUAGAGUUAGUAUCCUCAAGUUAUUUUUUAACUACAUUACUAGACAGCCGUUGGCUUUCAGUUACCAGGUUUUGCUGCUGUUAAUUGUAUUUGGUAAGCUGCCUCUCAUUGUGCUUGUCGUCGGAACCAGCAACAGCAGAAGCUUGCCUGCUGCCCUACCAAAGCAAAAUUAGGUUAUUUGUGAAUGAACAUUACCUCUUCAGCAAUCUGAUGGAUUUACAGGCUUGUUUGUUUCGUUGGUGGCUUGCUGCUCGGGUUCUUUGUUGAUUUUGUUGGAUGUGUGUGCUGUUUACCAACAAGGAGCUUCAGAAGGGUUGCUCACCAAUGAACUAGA